rnacentral:rRNA from 1 species
UACGGAGGGUGCAAGCGUUGUCCGGAGUUAUUGGGUUUAAAGGGUGCGUAGGCGGCCCGUUAAGUCAGCGGUGAAAUCCCGGGGCUCAACCCCGGAACUGCCGUUGAUACUGGCGGGCUUGAGUUCGGUGAAGGCGGGCGGAACUGGCGGUGUAGCGGUGAAAUGCUUAGAUACCGCCAAGAACCCCGAUUGCGUAGGCAGCUCGCUGUGCCGAAACUGACGCUGAGGCACGAAAGCGUGGGGAGCGAACAGG